GACGAACCGUGCGAACGUUGUUCGGAAUCACUGGGCUUAAAGGGCGCGUAGGCGGCUUCCCAAGUCCGGGGUGAAAUCUUUCGGCUUAACCGGAAAAGUGCCUUGGAUACUGGGGGGCUCGAGGGGGGCAGGGGCAAGCGGAACUUCCGGUGGAGCGGUGAAAUGCGUUGAUAUCGGAAGGAACGCCGGCGGCGAAAGCGGCUUGCUGGACCCCACCUGACGCUGAGGCGCGAAAGCCAGGGGAGCGAACAGG
rnacentral:rRNA from 1 species